rnacentral:rRNA from 1 species
CCUACGGGAGGCAGCAGUGAGGAAUAUUGGUCAAUGGGAGGGAUCCUGAACCAGCCAUGCAGCGUGAAGGACGACUGCUCUACGGGUUGUAAACUUCUUUUGUAAAGGGAUAAAGUGAGCCACGAGUGCGGUUUUGUAUGUACUGUAUGAAUAAGGAUCGGCUAACUCCGUGCCAGCAGCCGCGGUAAUACGGAGGAUCCGAGCGUUAUCCGGAUUUAUUGGGUUUAAAGGGAGCGUAGAUGGGUUGUUAAGUCAGUGGUGAAAGAUUGAGGCUCAACCGUGAAGUUGCAGUUGAUACUGGAAGACUUGAGUACAGAUGCAGUAGGCGGAAUUCGUAGUGUAGCGGUGAAAUGCUUAGAUAUUACACAGAACUCCGAUUGCGAAGGCAGCUUACUAAGCUGGCACUGACAUUGAUGCUCGAAAGUGUGGGGAUCAAACAGGAUUAGAUACCCGAGUAGUC